GCGUAACGCGUAUGCAACCUGCCCCCAGUCAGGGGAAUAGCCCGCCGAAAGGCGGAUUAAUGCCCCAUAGGCCCAGGGCGCCGCAUGGCGCUAUGGGGUAAAGCUCCGGCGGAUGGGGGAUGGGCAUGCGUGCCAUUAGCUAGUUGGGGCGGUAACGGCGCACCAAGGCGACGAUGGCUAGGGGGUCUGAGAGGGAUGGUCCCCCACACUGGUACUGAGACACGGACCAGACUCCUACGGGAGGCAGCAGUGAGGAAUAUUGGUCAAUGGGCGGAAGCCUGAACCAGCCAUGCCGCGUGCAGGAUGACGGCCCUACGGGUUGUAAACUGCUUUUCCCCGGGAAGAAUAAGCCCCUCGUGAGGGGUGAUGCCGGUACCGGGGGAAUAAGGAUCGGCUAACUCCGUGCCAGCAGCCGC
rnacentral:rRNA from 1 species